AUACGGAGGGUGCGAGCGUUAAUCGGAAUUACUGGGCGUAAAGGGCGCGUAGGCGGUUAAAUCAGUCAGAUGUGAAAGCCCCGGGCUUAACCUGGGAAUGGCAUUUGAUACUGUUUAGCUAGAGUUUGGUAGAGGGGAGUGGGAUUUCCGGUGUAGCGGUGAAAUGCGUAGAGAUCGGAAGGAACAUCAGUGGCGAAGGCGGCUCUCUGGACCAAAACUGACGCUGAGGUGCGAAAGCGUGGGUAGCAAACAGGAUUAGAUACCCCAGUAGUCC
rnacentral:rRNA from 1 species